GGUGGGGGUGGGAGGUGGACGAAAUGGGUGAAGGGGAUCAAAAGGUACAAACUUCCAAUUAUGAAAUAAACAAGUCAUGGAGAUGCAAUGUAAAACAUAGGGAACUCAGUCA